AUCCCUUCUCAGUCUUUUGGCUAAGAUCAAGUGUGGUAUUCAGCUGUUCUUAUCAGUUUAAACACCGAUCCAUUGUAAACUUUUCAUCUAUGAGUGUAGGUAUAAAAUCUCAUUUACUUAAACUAAUUUGGCAAGACAUGAAAGAUAAUAGAAAGAAAAUGGAUUCUACAAGAGCAUCAAGAAUUUUUUUUCUUUA